rnacentral:rRNA from 1 species
CAGUAGCCGCGGGAAUACGGAGGGGGCUAGCGUUGUUCGGAAUUACUGGGCGUAAAGCGCACGUAGGCUGUUUUGUAAGUUAGAGGUGAAAGCCUGGUGCUCAACACCAGAACUGCCUUUAAGACUGCAGAGCUAGAACGCCGGAGAGGUGAGUGGAAUUCCGAGUGUAGAGGUGAAAUUCGUAGAUAUUCGGAAGAACACCAGUGGCGAAUGCGGCUCACUGGACGACUGUUGACGCUGAGGUGCGAAAGCGUGGGGAGCAAACAGGAUUAGAGACCCCAGUAGUCCCUGUCUCUUAUAA